GGCGGCGUGCCUAACACAUGCAAGUCGCACGAGAAAGGGGAGCAAUCCUUGAGUAAAGUGGCGCACGGGUGAGUAACACGUGAAUCAUCUACCUCCGAGUGGGGAAUAACCUAGAGAAAUCUGGGCUAAUACCGCAUAACACUUACGAGUCAAAGCAGCAAUGCGCUUGGAGAGGAGUUCGCGGCCGAUUAGCUAGUUGGCGGGGUAAUGGCCCACCAAGGCGAUGAUCGGUAUCCGGCCUGAGAGGGCGCACGGACACACUGGAACUGAAACACGGUCCAGACUCCUACGGGAGGCAGCAGUGGGGAAUUUUGCGCAAUGGGGGAAACCCUGACGCAGCGACGCCGCGUGGAGGAUGAAAUAUCUUGGUAUGUAAACUCCUUUCGAUGGGGAAGAUUAUGACGGUACCCAUANAAGAAGCCCCGGCUAACUUCGUGCCAGCAGCCGCGGUAAUACGAGGGGGGCAAGCGUNGUUCGGAUUUAUNGGGCGUAAAGGGUGCGUAGGCGGUUUGGCAAGUCUUAUGUGAAAUCUUCGGGCUCAACCCGAAGUCUGCAUAA
rnacentral:rRNA from 1 species